AUCGUUUUCACCUUGGACUCUCACCGUUUCCUUAAGAAAUAAGAAAUAUAGGAAAUCUGAGCGUCCUCUCCCAGCAAUCCCAAGUUGUUUCGUUGAAAAAAACAUUCAUAAGUUGGCGGACGCUAGAUCCUACAGGACAGGUCUGCUGUGUCGCCGCGCCUAUCAUUGCUGAGGGGUGAGCGCCCUUGCCAUCAGCUCAUUGCUGGCGAGGAGACAUAGGCUCCUGGAUACUUAGUGACAGAACGAUGCCCAUAUGACUGCUAGAACAUAAUGCAAGGUGGAGAGGCCGUACAUGCUUCCAUGCCCUUAAGGUCAUCCCUGAAUCAGGGAUUGCACAUACUCUUGCUGAUCUCCCUGGUAGUGUUCGACUCGACUCACUGGCGGCAAGGAGACAUAGGCUCAUCAAUACUGAGGAAAGAAAGAUGCCCAUAUGACUUCUGGAACAUAACGUCAAUACUUGCAGGAAAAGGUCUCAGACAGUCGGGGUAAUGGGGUGUCUGUGAAGGUCAUGAUAGGUGUGCGACAUCAUCAGCGGACUUCAUAGAAUUUAACAUUAAUUAGAUCUUCCAUGGGACAAACUGCGAGGGGUUGUCUUUGAGUUUGCCCAUGUUGCCAAAAGUGCCAGUUCUGGGAGAAAUUUCUACUUUUUACUUGAUCCAAUAU